UACGUAGGUGGCAAGCGUUGUCCGGAAUUAUUGGGCGUAGAGCGCGCGCAGGCGGUCCUUUAAGUCUGAUGUGAAAGCCCACGGCUCAACCGUGGAGGGUCAUUGGAAACUGGGGGACUUGAGUACAGAAGAGAAGAGCGGAAUUCCACGUGUAGCGGUGAAAUGCGUAGAUAUCUGGAGGAACAUCGGUGGCGAAGGCGACAUCCUGGACCGGUAUUGACGCUGAGGCGCGAAAGCCAGGGGAGCAAACGGG
rnacentral:rRNA from 1 species